AAUUGCGAUUGGUAAAAUAAAUCAUUUUAUAUUGUAACAUUGAAAAUUAUAAAGAAUUUUAAUAUGAAAAUAUUCAUUUCAAAUAUCAUUUUAUUAGUUGUUUUACAAAAAUGUGGAAUGGUAAUGACCGUAUUUGAUGUUCUUAAACGCUCAAAGGAACUAGAAGAUUGUCCAAUAUGUAAAGAAGAAAUAACAAUAGAUUUGUCUAAAGUUACAUGUUGUCGGAAGACAUUUCAUUUUAAAUGUAUAGAUAACUGGAUUAAUAUAAAAGAAUCUUGUCCAUUGUGCCGCCAACUUCCAUUUGAAAGUAUAGAAUCUUUUAAAAUAUUAAAAUGUUAUUAGUUAAGUUAUUUUUAACCUCGAUACAAAGCUAAAAACGUAUUGAUUUUACCACGAUGUGUUUUUUUGUGUCUGUCCAUAAAAAUGUUCAACUCUAAGUGAACCGAUUUCGAUGAUCUAAAUACCAAAAACAGCUAAAUGUGAUCAAGUUGAAGAUUAAACCCUUAAAAUUAAAAAUUUAAAUUUAAAUAACUCCUCAGUUUUAGAAUAUAGGAAAGUAUCUCAAAAUUAAGCAUAUGUUGAUAAUAGGAAAUUAUAGCUUGUUUUCUGUAUUUUAUAAUUUUUUAUAAAAAAAUUUAAUUUUUACGAAAUUAUAAUACAAUAUAUAAAAGACAGUUGAUAUUCUUUGCAUGUGCUAUUCACAAAAAUCCAACAAAAGACCUAAGUACAGGUAGAGUAUUUCGUUUUAACUUUUUAAACUGUUUCGGAACGUUUAGAAUUCAUUAAACCUAUACAAAUUCAAACUUUUAAAAUUUGCUUGAUUAA